rnacentral:rRNA from 1 species
UGGCGGACGGGUGAGUAAUGUCUGGGAAACUGCCCGAUGGAGGGGGGUAACUACUGGAAACGGUAGCUAAUACCGCAUAACGUCGCAAGACCAAAGAGGGGGACCUUCGGGCUCUUGCCAUCGGAUGUGCCCAGAUGGGAUUAGCUAGUAGGUGGGGUAACGGCUCACCUAGGCGACGAUCCCUAGCUGGUCUGAGAGGAUGACCAGCCACACUGGAACUGAGACACGGUCCAG